CCAAAUGAGGAGUCAUAUUUCUCAUUCCCUCAGCUUCUAAGGACUAGAUAAGGCAAACUGUGACGCAGAAAGAUAAUUAUGCAGACUGCUAGAGUUAUUGCUGGAAGUGCUUCAAGUUCUCAGCCUGAAAGUUGUCUUCACAGACCAUCGUACUCAUACUCUGACUUCUAGAUGGGGUAAUGGGGAAGCCAGGGGUGUCAGCUGUGACCCUCGAAGGAAAGGGAUCACCCUCUUUCUGACCCUAUACCACCUUCAGCAGGGAUGAAGGCAGUCAGAGAAAACUUAGUUAAAAAAUUUCUAAACUGCUUUGCUGAUUUGAUCUGGGGCCCUGGAGUGCCAACAUCCUGUGAUAGCGGCUGAUUGUUGAUGCCUGGGAGGAUACAGCAGUGACGAUCCAAAUUUACAAGACUCAACAUGGUUUUCAAAACUUCCUUUUAAAAAAGAUGUUCCUGAGUUCUGGAAUCUGAACAAAAUAUGUCUGGUUAUUAUAUAAUUCUAAUGGUCCUUGUGGAUGCUACCAUUAGAGUUCAGUUAGUGUCUCAUCUAUCACUGUAAUAUUUGUAUUGUAACACUAAUCGUGGCAAAGUAUGAUUUGAUAAAUGCUCAUUCUCAAAUCUUUUAUUUUAGUGUGUUCAUGUAAGAUUAAUGACCAUGAUGACUUGAGAUAGAAUUUUUUGAUUUGUUGCUUUCUUUGUGUCUUCCAAUAUCACACAGAUUUGCAAAGAUAUCUAUGGCACAAGGGGAGAAAAUAAUAACUUAACUAGAGGAUAGGAGUAAGGCCUUCUAUUAACAAGACACUGUUGACAUUUCUAGGUAGAUUUCAGAAUUCUCCAGGCAUGCCUGGUAGAAAUUUUAGAAAUAAAAGCCAGGAAAGAAAGGCAGAAAGACUAUGUUGGGACAUUAGCAAUUUCUUCCUACCACAAUAUUUCUUUAUUCACUGUAAGUAAAUCUAAUGCUAAUUUAUUUAUCUGUCUAUCCUUUGAAUUACAAUUUAAAAUGUCAUAAAACAAAGAUUCAGAUAAGAUAGCUGAUUUGCUCAUAUUGAACGUCACAUUGAUUUUCACCAUCUGAGGCCCAUUGACAUCGUAUGGAUAUUAGAGAACCUGGAAUCACCAAGAUGGGGUUCUCCCACUGUUGUCUUCAUGAUCCAUGAUCAUUUGUACACAGUAAAUAUUUAUUUGAGUACAAUGACUUUACAAAUGAUACAUGCAGAUUCUGUAUACAAGGCUGAGAGUGAGUAGACCCAAUUUCAAACAAAAGGUUAUAUAUGUGACCAGUGAGAGUUUUCUAUCAUUCUCUAGGAGGCUAGACUAGGCAGAGUGCAAUUUAGGCCCCUGUGUGGUAAGGUGAGUUUUAAAAUUCCUCCUUUAUUUUCUCACUUGUUUUGGACAGCCAGGACCCAAAACAAAGCUAUUUAUUUGAAACCUCUCUCCUCUCUCUCUUCUUCCUCUUUCAUCAAUUUGAUUCCCUUUUUAUUAUCAUUAUUUAUGUUUUGUAUAACUAGAAAAAUAAUUUGUCAUGGAUUACAUCUUAUUUGCAAGAGGCUCUAGUAAGAUGGCAACAAGGCAUGCACAAUAUAUCAUAAUUUAGCAGCUUCUCUUGUAACUAUACUAAACUAGUGGUGGAAGAAAAUACAUAUAAACAACUCCGACAACAGAUUUUGAAUGAUCCAGUAACUUUGAUUUAUAUUUGGUAUUUGAUGGAACUGUAUUAGCAGUUAAAGCCAAUGGCUAAAUGAUUCCCAACACAAAAUGAGUCAGAAGUACAAAAGAAGCUUUACAAUGCACAAUAGAGAGCUCUGAGCCUCCCAGCUUAAAUUUCCAAAUUGCAGUGUAAAUUACAGGACUGCUUGUCAAUUUUAACUAACAGUUCUACCCAAUAGGGUCUAGCUAGGUAAUUCAUCCAUUAUUCCUUUAUGAAACAGUAAACACCAGCUAAAUUCCAUUGGCUUUUCUAAAUAAAAUUGCCUCAUCUCUCAUAUCUACUGCAGAGAAGGAGUGAAUCAACCUCUGACGACAGUAAGUCCCACACAACAAACAACAUGUGAAACCUGGAAUUAGUUAAAAAUGCUUUCCAUAUUUGUUAAUAGAAUUGGGUGCCAAUCAUCUUGAGAUGAUCUCAACCUUCCCAAGUUCUUUUGGUGGAAGGACUCUCACAUUCUUCUAUUUCCCCUCCUUACCCUAUAUUUUCUCUCAUCCCCAAAUAACUAUUUUCUCUUCACUUGUUUCCUCUAUGGCUUUCCCUGUCACAAAGAAGAAAUGAAUGAAAGAUUUGGAAGUCAAAAUCUAGCACUCCAAUUACCAACAUUAGCAGGAAGAGAAGAAUGUUCCAAAUAUCAACAAGAAUCUCAAAUCUAACCAAGCAAAAUAUGCAAUUAUGUAGGCAGAUGCUGGCUCAUCAGCCACUGAUAUAGACUGAUUUCUACCACUUCAUUAAUUUGACUUUCUUACUCUGGGCAAUUUGAUCAUACCCAUACAGCAUAUUUCUUAGCCAGAAAUAGAUUUGAUUGUUCUAGGCCAGGUGGGAAAGCCAAUAGAUUUGCACAAAUGCUUCACAGGGCAUCUGUAUUAUAGCAGGGAUGUGGGAAGUUUUAUUGUAGAGUUUGGAAGUGGACUGCUGAAUUCUCUUCCUUUAACCUAAUCAUGUCAUUCACGUGUGGAGCAUAGUCAGUCUUUACAUGUAUCUAUUGGUCUUUAUUGUUCAAUUUUUUUUUUUUUUUUUGAGAUGGAAUCUUGCUCUGUCACCCAGGCUGGAGUGCAGUGGCAUGAUCUCAGCUCACUGCAAAUUCCACCCACCAGAUUCAAGUGAUUCUCAUGCCUUAUCCUCUUGAGUAGUUGAGAUUACAGGUGCAUAUUGUCACACCUGGCUAAUUUUCGUAUUUUUAGUAGAGACGAGGUUUUGCCAUGUUGGCCAUGCUAGUCUGAAACUCCUGAACUCAAGUGAUCC
rnacentral:lncRNA from 1 species